rnacentral:rRNA from 1 species
UGCGUAGGCGGCGCAGCAAGUCGGGUGUGAAAUCCCCCAGCUCAACUGGGGAAUUGCGCCCGAAACUGCUGUGCUAGAGGAAUAUAGAGGUGAGCGGAACUUAGGGUGGAGCGGUGAAAUGCGUUGAUAUCCUAAGGAACACCGGUGGCGAAAGCGGCUCACUGGGUAUUCUCUGACGCUGAGGCACGAAAGGCUAGGGGAGGCAACG